AGUACCUGCAGUCGGAGCUGUGUGGCCGAUGGGAGCUUCCUGCAUAACUUGCACUUGAGUUAAUAAUGGAUCACUUCAUGUUUGCUUGCCUCGCUCGCAAAAACAUCACCCGCCACCCAGAGCAGCUCAGCUUCACCGGUCUCAGGCUUCCCUCUGCCCUUCACCCCUCCCGCCUGCUCCCCUGGUCAUUCCCUGCGUUCAGCUGCCAGAGUCCUCAUGCCCUCACCAUCGCCUGACGAAGGCGUCCUCAUGGUGUGGAUAGAACUGACAUUUCUUCAUCUUCAUCCUAAUCUUAAAUGCUAACGCUAAUGACCCAACUGCUCCGCUUACUACAACAAAGUUACAAGACAUUUACUGUAUUUCUAUGAAAAUACUUAUUAAUAAUUUACAACUUUAAAAAUUUACAACCUUAAAUGUAACU